UUAUCAUUAUUAUUAUUAUGAUUAUGAUUAUGAUUAUUAUUACAAUUAUUAUUAUUAUUAUUAUUUUUUUAUCUUUUUUUUUUUUUCAUUUACUUAUUCUCCUUUAUUGAAAUACUAUUUUUGGAAAAGCAUGAAACAUGAUAUUGGGCACAUACCAUUUUUCCGCAAAUGACUUUCUCUGCUUUAGGGCUGGGAAUGGCUAGAUAGAGCAUCCAUUCUUAAGAAGGCUAUUGGUUAUAUCUUUGAAGGCUUUUAUAUCAAAAGGCAUGAUAAUCUACAUAUAAAAAGGAUGAAUAAAAGGCAUGGUAUAUUAAAUGCAUAAUAUGUACAUGAAAUAGAGAAAGGAUAACCGUAUUUUUAGCAGAUGCUUCUUGCUUCCCCCCCUCCCCCAAAUCCACAAAGAUCUCGCUUACAUAAAACGAAAAAAAAGAAAGAAAGAAACAAGAAAAACAAAACAAAAAAAACAUGCCCUUAGCUUAGCAUAACCCACAUCACACACACUAGAUGAGCUUGCACUUAAGAAAGCAGUAGCACCUGUUCAGAUCAGUCCAGUGAAGAUUCAGUAAAGGAACCUCUCGCCACUCAACAUUCCGAGCUCACGGCAGGCGACCCCACAGAUUUAGCCUGACCACACGUCUUCUCCGCUAAAGUGCCGCAUCCCUUUAGGGUCUCGCUUGGGUUGCCAGGUGUGCCUAACGAAAGCCCUGAACGGCAUCACAGUCGUUGUUCCUGAAGGCACUACAGACGUGCGGAAUGUAUAAGACUUGGAGCGCUAGUUUCAUCAUGCAUUUUGACUGAAGAACAGAUUACUCUAGGAUUGGGCAUUUGUUUGCCAAUGGAGUUAUGAAGAAAAUUUUUGUUUUUGUAAUUACUUGAUAUUUUUAUGUUGUUCUUAGAUGUCAGUGAUCUUGUAAUAGUUUUUAUUGUUGAUUAGUGUCUUUGUGUGUGUAUGUCAUGUUUUACAUAAUAUAGUACAAGAGAUUUCAGUCAUAGACACACUAUUUUUGCUAAGCAGUGACUGAAAUGUUUUCAAUGUGGGUGCUCAAUUUCAUGUGUUGAUCUUGUAGGAAUGUUUGAGAAGAGAAACCCUUUAUAAUUAUGUUAUCUUAUAAUUGCCAUAUUUUUUGAUAAGCAUCAUGAAUUUAAAUAAAGGUUAACAAUAGAAAAGGAUGAUUCUAUACCAUGUUUUACGAUAGUAUGUUGUUCCAUAUGAAUAUUAUAUUGUGGCUUCAUAUGUAACUGAUCCUUUGAAAAGGAUUUGAUACUAUUUUUUUUGUCUUCACUUGCACAAUUCUUUUUGUAAUACUCGACUCACAUGUUUCAAUAACAUUCUUUGUUUUUUUAAUGUCUUUCCGUCUCUUUCUAUCAUUUCAAACUCUUUCCCUUAAAAACUGAACGGAAUUAACAAUAAAUUAAUUCCAAGUUUAGAUUGAUGGAAGAAUAGAUAACUGUAUAAUGAAUAUCUUGUUAGUUUGGCUCAAGCUUCACAUGUAUUGAAGUAUUUCAUCAUUAUUCAUAUGAUUUCUUAAAAA
rnacentral:lncRNA from 1 species